rnacentral:rRNA from 1 species
GAUGAACGCUGGCGGCGUGCCUAACACAUGCAAGUCGAGCGAAGCGAGGACGGGUGAGUAACACGUGGAUAACCUCCUAUAAGACUGGGAUAACUUAGGGAAACCGGACCUAAACCGGAUACUUAUCGCAGGUGACGUUCUGCAUUAGCUAGUUGGGAAGGUAACGGGUUACCAAGGCAACGAUGCAUAGCCGACCUGAGAGGGUGAUCGGCCACACUGGAACUGAUACACGGUCCAGACUCCUACGGGAGGCAGCAGUAGGGAAUAUUCCGCAAUGGGCGAAAGCCUGACGGAGCCAUGCCGCGUGAGUGAUGAAGGUCUUCGGAUCGUAAAACACUGUUAUUAGGGAGGCGGUACCUACACAAGAAGCCACGGCUAACUACGUGCCAGCAGCCGCGGUAAUUC